rnacentral:rRNA from 1 species
UACGGGGGGAGCAAGCGUUGUUCGGAUUUACUGGGCGUAAAGGGCGCGUAGGCGGCGCAACAAGUCACUUGUGAAAUCUCCGGGCUUAACUCGGAACGGUCAGCUGAUACUGCUUUGCUAGAGUGCAGAAGGGGCAAUCGGAAUUCUUGGUGUAGCGGUGAAAUGCGUAGAUAUCAAGAGGAACACCUGAGGUGAAGACGGGUUGCUGGGCUGACACUGACGCUGAGGCGCGAAAGCUAGGGUAGCAAACGGG